UACGUAGGGUGCAAGCGUUGUCCGGAAUUAUUGGGCGUAAAGAGCUCGUAGGCGGUCUGUCGCGUCGGCUGUGAAAACUCGGGGCUCAACCCCGAGCCUGCAGUCGAUACGGGCAGACUAGAGUGCUGUAGGGGAGACUGGAAUUCCUGGUGUAGCGGUGAAAUGCGCAGAUAUCAGGAGGAACACCGGUGGCGAAGGCGGGUCUCUAGUACGGUACUGACGCUGAGACGCGAAAGCGUGGGGAGCGAACAGG
rnacentral:rRNA from 1 species